GGCAGUCAAAGAGGGGGCAAGGAAAGGGGAGAAUUAUGUUACUGUCACUUGGCUGUUAUUCGUAGAACUAGAAUGACAUUGAGGGUGUUAGAGAAUAAUAUAAAUCAUAUUCUAAGACCUCACCUAACAGCUUAAGCUAUU
rnacentral:misc_RNA from 1 species